UACGAAGGGGGCUAGCGUUGUUCGGAAUUACUGGGCGUAAAGCGUGCGUAGGUGGUGAGUUAAGUCUGUCGUGAAAGCCCCGGGCUCAACCUGGGAAUGGCGAUGGAUACUGGCUCGCUAGAGUGCGGUAGAGGAGAGUGGAAUUCCCGGUGUAGCAGUGAAAUGCGUAGAGAUCGGGAGGAACAUCAGUUGCGAAGGCGGCUCUCUGGACCAGCACUGGACACUGAGGCACGAAAGCGUGGGGAGCAAACAGG
rnacentral:rRNA from 1 species